rnacentral:rRNA from 1 species
AUUGCCUGCCCAGUGACUAUAGUUAAACGGCCGCGGUAUCCUGACCGUGCAAAGGUAGCAUAAUCAUUUGUUCCUUAAUUAGGGACUAGAAUGAACGGCUAGACGAGGGUUCAACUGUCUCUUAUUUUUAAUCAGUGAAAUUGACCCUCCAGUAAGAGGCUGGAAUAUAAUAAUAAGACGAGAAGACCCUAUGGAGCUUAAAUUAAAAAGCUUAAUUACUGUUUCACUACCCUAAAUGGCAUAAGAUAAAAAAUUAUAAGCUUAAAAUUUUGGUUGGGGUGACCUCGGAGAAUAAAAAAUCCUCCGAACGAUAAAUAACCUAGACUCACAAGCCAAAGUAGCCUAACUAUCUAAUUGACCCAAAAAUUGAUCAACGGACCAAGUUACCCUAGGGAUAACAGCGCAAUCCUAUUUAAGAGUUCAUAUCGACAAUAGGGUUUACGACCUCGAUGUUGGAUCAGGACAUCCCAAUGGUGCAGAAGCUAUUAAUGGUUCGUUUG